GACGAACGCUGGCGGCGUGCUUAAUACAUGCAAGUCAACGACUUUUAGAGUAGCAAUAUUUUAAAGGAAGUGGCGCACGGUGAGUAACACGUAGGUAAUCUGCCUUCAGGACUGACACAACUCGUCGAAAGACGGGCUAAUAUCAGAUAAUGCAGCGGCUCCGCAUGGAGACAGUUGUUAAAGUACAAGCGCCUGAAGAUGAGCCUGCGGUCCAUUAGCUAGUUGGUAGAGUAACAGCCUACCAAGGCAACGAUGGAUAGCUGGUCUGAGAGGAUGAUCAGCCACACUGGAACUGAGACACGGUCCAGACUCCUACGGGAGGCAGCAGUAAGGAAUAUUGCUCAAUGGCCGAAGGCUGAAGCAGCAACGCCGCGUAGAAGGAUGAAUGGCCUUUGGCCUAGUAAC
rnacentral:rRNA from 1 species